UACGGAAGGCAGCAGUGGGGAAUAUUGCACAAUGGGCGCAAGCCUGAUGCAGCCAUGCCGCGUGUAUGAAAAAGGCCUUCGGGUUGUAAAGUACUUUCAGUCGUGAGGAAGGUGUUAAGGUUAAUAACCUUAGCAAUUGACGUUAGCGACAGAAGAAGCACCGGCUAACUCCGUGCCAGCAGCCGCGGUAAUACGGAGGGUGCGAGCGUUAAUCGGAAUUACUGGGCGUAAAGGGCACGCAGGCGGUUAAUUAAGUUGGAUGUGAAAUCUCGGGCUUAACCUGGGAAUGGCAUUCAAGACUGGUUAGCUAGAGUCUUGUAGAGGGGGUAGAAUUCCAUGUGUAGCGGUGAAAUGCGUAGAGAUGUGGAGGAAUACCGGUGGCGAAGGCGGCCCCUGGACAAAGACUGACGCUCAUGUGCGAAAGCGUGGGGAGCAAAC
rnacentral:rRNA from 1 species